UUGGAAGUAGUUGGGUUCUUGGGCCAAAAGGAAUACAGUGACCAUUUCUACCUCCUCCAUUAGAGGCUUCACUCUUGACGCAUGUUCGUGCCACUUAAUUGCAUAUUCUAGAAAACUUUCUGAGGGCUUUUCUUUAGAUUCACCAAAGAAUUACUAUCCGGUGCAAUGUCUAUGUUGUACUCAAACUGUCGAACAGAGUCUCUGAAAAGAUCAUCCCUGAUAUGCCAACGUGAGACGUCUUGAUCCAUAUUCUCUGAAGCAAUGCUGAUUAAGCUCUCUCCGACGUAAGCCAUUUAUAACUCUUCUUUUCUGCCGGCCCUACGCUGCUGAUUAUAAUACUUCUUGAAGUGAGCGAUGGGAUAACCAUGCCCAUCAUUCUUUUUAAACUUUGGUGUCUUAAGCCAUGAAAGUAGAUGCACAUGAGGGAACAUGCACAAAUGUGUAUAGGAAACACUUUUUUACCCACUUAAGACUUGCAUAUUCUUUAAACUCUGCUCAAGACUCCUCAUUUUCUUUGCCAUCUCAUCUUGCUCGGGAGCUUAGAGAGUUUGAUCUUGCCCUGGUAUAAUCUCAUAUUGUGUUUGUUGAGGGUAAGCAUAUGUGGGGUAUUGCACGAGUUCUGGUUGGUAUGUAGGAGUUUGAUAAGUUAAGGACGAUAAAUCAAACACAGGUCUUGGGACUGUGGGCUGUGUUGUUGUAGAGGAUGUGGAGCAAUUAUGCUGUUAGGAGCUGUCCCACGUAUGAAUGCCUGGGGCGAACCUCAGAAUUUGCUCCCACAAAAUGAGCGAAUAUGGUAGGUUGUCCAAGCGGGACGUUUGGGUGACUGAUGAGAAAGUUAGAGGUACCAAUUGGUCUUGGGAACAACUCAGGAAAUCCCGGGAUGACACUCGGGGUUUUUUUUCCGUUUGUCCAUGCAUCCCACAAAUCCAUUACCCUCAGACACGAGAUUAUAUUCUCUUCAGCUAAUGUGGACUCUGAGGCCGGGACGCCCGAGAGCGGGCUGUCUUCUAACAUAGGGAUUGUUGACUGGGUCAUUUCUGACGAUAUCUCUGUACUACCUUUAGAUCUGGUAAAGUAGUGGUGUGAAGCCAGUUCACCACAAACCAACCACCUGUUUCUAUAAACCUGGACUGGAAUGAGAGCGGCAAAUGGUUAGUAUGAAACAAAUAACAGAUAAGUAAUUGCACGUUGGGUGUGAUGAACCUAAUUUUCUUUCCUUUCUUUCUUUUUGCCAUGAUUUUUCUUUGAUUUUCUCAUUUUCUUUCGGCUCUUGCGCUUCUUUUGUUUUUAUUUUCUUUUAUCUCUUUUUGCUUUUUUCUUAAGGUUAUGGUCAAAUCUUAUGAGGAUUUCCUACGUAUCAUGACUCCGCGCAAUCAGACCAAGCGUAGUUUGUGAAAACAAGUGCAAAAAUAUAAAAAAAUUGUUUUUCAGGAAUUUUCAAUUUUCAUUACUAACACAUUCUAUUACAGAAACAUUUUUGAAAAGGAAAAUAAUAGACUUGAAAUAAAUCCAAAUACAGACUCAAAAACUACUGAUGCAAAAAGAAUACAAGCAGACAGACAACAGACUCUAAAAUAAAAAAUACAGACUCGAACUAUGAAUACAUUAAUGCCUCAAAAAUUGGUGCCUGCGGGGCAUCUUUCGGCCUUGCCGCGGGCUUAGGUGCGAGAUCCCUUUCAAGUUGCUCCAAUUCAUGCAUUGUUCGCUUGACAAAAAUCAUUAUUUCUAAAAAGAAGGUAGUGCGGGUCAUGUCUUCACAUAGUCGACAUCCCCUAAUGAUGGCGUGGGCACUAGUCUGAAGAUCCUGUCUUUCCAGUGUUGUAUUUCUACUUUCUUUCGGGCCAGUAAAUCAUAGCAUUGUCCACUUUGAGUUUCAAAAGCUUGGAAUUUUUUAGCUACUCUUUCCUCAAGGGUGGUCACUUUUCUUUUCAAUUGGCAAUGGUUUUCUCGUAAUCUUUCCUUAACUACUGUAAAUACUAUGUGUGCUCUUAUGUUCUUUUUGCCACUGUGGCCGGGGUCCUACUAUGGUACCCUGGGAUUUCUUCAGCUUGUCCCGACACUCAAGGAUUUCCAUUUUCAACCCCUUUAUCAACUGUUCAUCCGACCGACUCCUUUGUUGGUUAUCAACGUCUAUCCUUAUUUGUUGGAUUUGGGCCUUCAGCGCCUCAUUUUCUUGGGCCAGUUGGUUCUUUUCUCCCUGAUCAGUAGCAACUUGCACACUAUUUUCAAUUUUCAGGUCCCUAAUUUGUUGUUUCAGCUUGCCUAUUUCUGUCAGGUAGCUUUCUGCCUUUACUAACCAACCCCAUUGCUCUUGUGAGUCAUUAGUAAACUGCUGGACAUGAGCUCAUUUGGCGGGCCUAUGUGGUACCAAAAUCCUUUUCCUGAACCAAGCAUUUUACUUUGGGUCCACCUCACCCUUAGCAAGAUCUCGAACACUAGGCUCAAGGAAUAUGCAUUCAUUCCAUAGCUUUCGAAGUUUAUUAUCCGAAAAUGCGGCACCCGAGCUCAACUCAAUGACUUUCCUGCUUAGAUAUUCAUCUGUAGGGACUACUUGAAACCUUCCCAAUUUCCACAGCACCCGAUGGGGAGAAAAUGGUUGGAUACUAUGGAUAUCCCAUCAAAAGAACAUGACAUUCUCUGGCCGACAUGUAUACCGCCUCAAUAGCGGGAAGCCACCAAAUGCCCAUUCAAUUUGAUUGGCAGUCAAUGACCUCAGUCGUACAAGGCAUGCUUUAGUACCUUUGGGGAAUGCAACACCCAUUACCUGCUUCACAAAUCCGUUGAUGCAGCUCAAUUCGGUUAACUCGUGGUUCAUGUAUCCUACCCAGUGGCAAAGAUGUACUUGCAUCCAUAACAGGAGUAAUACAUUGCAACCCCGGAAGAAGUCUCCUCCCUCCCGGCAUAUGGAUAAGGAUCGGUAGAUUUCGGACAAGACCAAGGGAACCACAGUACUAUCAGCCUUUUUAAUUCCAACAUCGGCCAUCCAUACAAGGCCUAUCUUCAUUUUCUUAUCUUUGCAUGGACAGACUACGACUCCCAGGAAUGCUGUUAUCAUUGCCAAAGUUCGCCUUGCCUCCCACUUGUUUCUAUUUCCAACAUGAGCUAGUCUGACGUUCAGCUCUUCGAAACCCUGAGGAGUACCAUAUCAUUCAUAUAAGAACUGAAGAGUGAAACAUCCUCUUGACAAAUCAUCAUUUUGAACAUUCCGACUAAUAUUUAGCAAAUCCAAAAAUCCGUUUGGAGAUACCGAUCUGGGUGACAACAAAUAUUGACCCCUUCGGUUUCAAUUAAAACCCGCAUGACUAGCAACUUCCUCCAGUGUAGGUGUAAGGUCAAAGUCAGCAAAGCGAAAUAGAUUGCGGGUUGGGUCCCACCACGGUAUUAAGGCCACGAUGAUAUCUGACCUUGGCUUGAUAUUCAGUAAACCGACGAGACCUCCCAAGAUUCUCACCACUAUUUCUUUGUUACCUUAUUACAAAUCAUUUCACCACAUGUGGAGCUAUAGUGGGACCUCGGUAAAGACAGUGAACGGUUCAAUUUGGUUUGUGCUCAUCCUACACAUUCAUUAAGGUGAUUAAGAAAAAUUCAAAAUUUAUUUGACUCAAAACAAAUUGACUAUUUUCUUGUUUUUCCCCAAUUAAAAUGAAAGACCCAAUUUUCUAGAACACGACCUUUCAGCACUUCAGGGACUAAGAUUUUAAGGUUGUGUGGGUCAACCGGCCAAAAUCUAGAAAAAAUUCACAAAGGUGGUUGUUUAUACAAAGUCAGACUCUGGCGUCCCUUUUGGAAACAUUCAGCUAUUUUUUUUAUUAAAACAGUGAUGACGUUCAAAUCCACCGCUAAAAAUCAAUUGACACGGUCGCAUAUAAUUUAAUUUACCCAACUAUGAGUCGGGGUCGAAUCCCACAGAGAACAAUGUGUAGGCGAUUAGGAAUGUAUGAAAAUUAUCGCUAGUUGCGCAGUGCCAAACACUAAGAGUUUGGGUUGAAAAUUAUUUUUAUAUGUAAAAUGCGGAAAUGUUAACUAACCUAUAAAGCAAGUAAAAUGAUCAAUGGCUACAAGUAUGAAAGCAUCGGGAAUUACACUCAAGUGACGAUUCAAUGUAUUUAAUGAUUUUAUAAAUAUGAGUGAGUUUAUGCUAAUUAGCCACGGAUAAUAAUUCUUUAUUAGCUUCUUCCGAAGACUAACAAGACUUGUUAUGAUUUACAAAUAUGAGCGAGUUUAUGUUAAUUAGCCAUGGAUAAUAAUUCUUAAUAAGCUUCUUCCGCAUUGUAACAAGACUUCCCAAUUGAAUUAUCUCUAAUCACAAUUAGAAUAUUAAGCACACUCGAUGUCCACAAGUAGUUCAAUCCUAUACCUAGGUAGAAUCUAUAAAAUGAGGGUAAACGCCUCACGUUUUAAUUAAUCUUUCCCAACCCCAAACUAUUUUUCCCGAAAUUGAGUCGGAGUUAAUGGGAGAGUCCUAGGGUUAGCUAAUCCCUUUGGAAACAUUAAAGAACAAGAAUAAUUAAAGAAACAAUAACUUACUUCAUAAAUAUAUAAAAAUCAUUCAAUAUAUAAGCACAACAAGGUAUAAAAUCUACACUUUAAUUAUGAAUAUUUCCAUAAACAAUAUUUAAGUGUCGGAUAAAAUACUACGCGCUUAGAUAAACAAUACAAAUCAUGGAAAUGAAGAAAUAAACAUAAAUGGAUAAGAAAAUCUCAAUCACAAGCUUUAAUCUUCAAGACCAAAGUGUGUUUGUGCAAACCUUAGCUCAAGAACUUGUUCUCUCUAGUCUCAAUGGACUGAAAAUAAGCCAAAGAUAUUCUACAAAUGAACCUUAUCGGGUAUUAAAUGAUUCGGGAAUCAAAAGAGUGAAGUUCAAGAAUUGCCCAUGCCUGAAGCACGUGCUUCGCAAUUGCGAACAAAUAUUCGCAUUUGCGAAGCUUGCCUAUACUGCCUGGUUUUGCAUUUCCCAACAUUUCUUCACAUUUGUAAUGACUCCAAUUUCCUGUAGAGUUCGCAUUCGCGAACAUUACAUCGCAUUUGCGAAGACUUCUUAAUUCAUGCUAAGUUCGCAAAUGCGCCCUUUUCUUAGCAUUUGCGAAGGCUGCCCAAUUCCAGCUAAGUUCGCAAAUGCGACAUUUUCUUCGCAUUUGCGAACACUGCCCUUUUCUUCUUGGCAUUGCAUUUCUCAGGAUUUUGUCACAUUUGCGACCUCUGAGGCCACUGCCCAGAUUUUCUCUUUGUUUUUUCUUCUUUUUACUUGUUUCCACUUGGUUUCUUCACCAUUGCUUCUAAAUCAAAUUCAACCUGUAAAAUAGAAGUAAAUGACAUUAAACACAUGAUUUUAUCACUGAAAAUAUAGCAAAAGUACAUGUUUAAAGGCAAGAUAAGUGGGUAAAAUACCAACUUAUCACACCCCCAAACUUGAACUAUUGCUUGUCCUCAAACAACGAAGACGAUAAAAUCUCUUCCCAAGUGACUACAUCAAACUCAUAUCUUUAUCACACCAAGGCAAAAAGGGCUACUACAAGCACAAAAGCAUGACUUCGCUUGGUACCAACAAUUACUCCAAAACAUAUGAAUUAUCGAGCAUUUCACAUAAAUUUCAUUAUACUUCAAAUACUAAAACACUAAUGCGAAUCAAAGUAGCAAUCAAGUCAUGACUCUAAAGCGUAAAAAUUUUCCUCUAUAUCACAAUCAACUUUCUUUGGUCAUCCUUAUCAAUUGAAAAUGGGAUUAAAUACACAACUAAUUUCUCAUGUGCCCUUACAUUCAAGAGAGGAUCCCACACUCAUGAAUCUCAAUUUAAAUAAAAAAUGGGAUAUCAAAUGGAAAGAAUUAACUCACUCUCAAAAAGAUGUUCUAGUGCAUACAAGUAGUACCAUAGGCUUUUCUUCAUGUCUUUCACCACUAAUGUAGACAACUUAGUUCAAAAUUAAUAAGGAGUUAAAGGGUUGUAGCUUAGGCAUUUGGUUAAGGUAAAGCACAAUUUUGGUUAAACUGACUCAAACUUUUCCCAAGCAAUACAAAGUUUACAAUUAAAGUCCACUUUCUUCGUAAAUAUUUUUCCGCCCUUUCUUCAUUUUUUUAAUACCACACCUAGUCUUCCCUUUAUUCACAACUUUUUUAUAACCACACAUUACAUACAUUUUAUUCAUAAACCUUUCACCUUUUCAAACAAUUUUCAUAUCACAACUUUCCCAACUUGCACCCCAAACUUAGGCUUUUAGCCUACAUAAAGACAUUCAACUUAGUGACGGGGUGCCAAAAGAUGUAUCAUUUGAGAACAAAGGAUUCAAGCAUGUAAUAUGAUUACAAAAUAAUAAGGUUAAAGUCUCAAAAUUGGUUGACUGGGGAAAAUAUUUAAGGGUAGGAAUAUUUAGUAUACUAGCGGUCCAAGAAAGGCCUAAUAUAAAUUUUUAAAAUAAUGUUAGUCUAUAAUUUUUACUCAAAACACAUUCUGGGCAAGUUCUAGACCACAAGCACUACAAAAUAACUAACAAAUCCAUCUCACCACACAUGGCACAUGAAAACUCAAAUGGAGUACAAAUCCACAUUCAUAUUAACACAAACAACUCAAGGAGGUUAUAUAGCAUAAAAGAAGCUAUUUAGUGAAUUAAAGAGCCAAAAUUGAAUCUUAAAGGUCAUGACAUUAUUACUUCAAUUUUUUUUACAUCCAAAAAUUCAUAUGCCAAGGUUUAACUAUGUUGGUACUAAGCAAAGCACACUCGUCAAUGGGCACAAAUCCCAACUCAAACUAUUUAUUUUCCUAUAUUAUCAAAAACUAAAUCUAACUACAAGACUAAUUCCCUUAAGAAAGUUAUUAGUCCAUCCAUCAUCUGGAAAAGUCGACAAAAAUAUUUCUACAAUUACCCGGUUCAAGAAGAAAAAUUGGCAUCCUUGGAAAAAGAACCGUGGUAUAAAUAAAACCAAGAAUAUCGCCACUAACACAAAGCAUACUAAAAUAAAUAAAAAUUAAGAAGCUAAAAGAAAAAACAUCAAGUACUAAAUAUACUAAUAUCAACAUACUAAAAUAUACUAAUAUCAAGAUACUAAUAUAAAUAAAACAUCUAGUACUAAACACACUAAUAUCAGCAUACUAAAACAUACUAAUAUCAACAUACUAAUGUAAAACAUGAUAUCAAAAUAAACUAAUAACAAAAUGAAAACAGUCAAAAUACUAAUCCGCCAAAUAUCCACAAAAUAUAACAGUUAUACGAGUACCACCCCCAACAAAAUAUAUUGCUUUGUCCCCCAAUGCAACUAAACAUGAUAUAGUAAAAGUGGUGGAAAGCGCCCUGAAUACUACAUCAGGUUCUCUUCUCGCUCUCGGACUCAGACUCAUCCUCGUCCUCUCCUUCUUCCUCUGGCCAUUCUACAGGAAUUUUAUCAGGAUCCACAUCUCUCCUAGAUGGUAUCCGCUCCUGAGGCUUACGGACCUUCCAUAUGCCCUUCACACCCUUCCACAUUCUAGUGAAGAAUUUAUCUCUUUUCUUCUCCAUUUUCACUAUCCGGGUGUGUGAAUUUUCCAAGUUAUCAUGAGAAGUGCUCAACUCACCAUGCUUCUUGGCCAGCUCAGUGUAUGCUUUUUCCAGUGCCAUAAGGUGAUCCCCCUGCUUCCUUUGAUCGUGAAUAUAUUUCUGGAAAUCUUUCUUGGAAAUGUUAGCAGCUGCCUCAAAUGUCUCCCCAGGUCCCUGGGGAAGGCCAGACACUAGCUCGCGAAUCACUCGCAUCUCCUCAUUGAUCACAACAAAUGGCCCUCCUACUGAUUAUGAAGGAAGACUACCCUGAGAAGAUGAAAAUCUUCCUCUUUUUCGGCUUCACUACUCCUCCUUCUCCUCUUUUCAUGAGCGGAUGUAUAGGCUUCCCCGGUUCUAUCCAAUUGUCCCCUGAAGCUUCUUACACCCCAGCAAGCUGGCAUAACUCAGUGAUAAGAGAAUGGAACAUCAAUGAGGGACUCAUUUGAAUUUGAUACUCUCUCAGUUCACUGAUAAUGAUCUCGCCCACAUUUAGCUGAAUGCCAUCAACGACACAGGCUAUAAUUUGAGCUCGAGUAAUUGGGAUGUUCCAUAUGUUAUAAAUAGGGGAGACACGACUGCAUAUUAUAGCCAGCCAUAUCAUUGCUUCCGAAGUGAAAUAUUUGGAUGUGACCCCCUCUUUUCAGGUGCCCACGAAACAUCUAGACCCGGACACAGCUUAGAAGCCAACCACUCUCAAGAAGCACAGUCCUUUCCCUAAAUGGAGUCAUGUCAUUGUCUUGCAGAUGGUAGGGCUAAAAGCAUAUCAUUUUAGCAUGAAUUAUCAUCUUGGGAUUUUUAGACCUUAUAGCUUUGAGGUUAUUGUAAAAUACCCUCACCCAUUGCUCAUUUGCUCGGCAAGGUUGAGGGGCAAAACAAUCCUAUCCAAUGUUCGUUAGUCUUGUAUAGAACUCGGGGAGACGUUAUUUGACAUUAUCCAUCACUAUUACACUCUCCGGGAGCACCUUCUUUGAGAUCAGUUCAUCAUAGUAUCGUUCCUGUCAUUUAUUGCCAGGAACCGAUUGUCAUCAAAAGCCUGCUCUUCUUCUGUAGGAUUUUCACUUGAGGAUCCUUCAGAGUUCGGAUGCACUGUUCAAUUAUAAUAUCUUUCAAAAAAGUGAUAAUAUUGAAAACAUGAUAUGGCUAUGAAGAAUAAUGCAAAAUGAAGUGAAUAUGCCAAAAUAAUUAUCGGACAAUCAAAACUUAGCCUUAGAAAAAUUCAAAAAAUUUCGGCUUUUGAAGUGUUGGGCUGCAGAUAUCGCUAUUCCUAGGAAUUUUUCGCAUUUCUAUAGAAAUAAGAGACUCUAGGUUUUGGGAGUUGCAAAUAAAACUUUGCAAAUGCGAAGUCUUCAGAAAAGCCAGACAUCGCAAAUGCGAAGAUAACUUUGCAAAUGCGAAGUCAACCAGGAAAGGUCAACUUCGCAAAUGCGAAGAAAAUCUUGCAAAUGCAAGCCUUCAUCCCCGGGCAGUGUUCUUUCAGAGAACAGGGUUUACGCCCAAUAAUUUUCAAUCCAAGCCUAUUUUAAGCAAAACCAAUCAUUAAUCAAGACUACAUCAUGCAUUAAACUUCAUAAACGACCAUGAAUCAACAAAUUUCAAUGGUUGUGGCAACAAAUUAUUUCAGGCCUCACAUCGAACAAAUUAAGAGUGCAAAAUAUUUGCUUCUAUUUGACAAGUAAUUGGGUACUCAGACUUCUCUACAUUUUGCCAUGAACAAAUUCACUCAUUUCUCAACAAAACCUUACCCAGAAAACACAUAGAAUUUGAAAAGAAUUUCUAACAAUUUGGGGCAAAGGGUGGCAACCAUUUGAACCCUAGGGUUCAUAAUACAAAGCAAAAUAAAUAAGAAAGAGACGAUGAAGAAGUAGAAAGUGUACAGAUUAAGCUUUCAUACCUGAUACUCUUCAAUGAGAGGUGAAGACGUGAUGCCUUUAUAGUGUUGAGAGGGAAGGGGAGCCAAGAGUUUUAGAGAAUUAGAGUGUUUUGUUAUACAUUAGUUCAGAAUGGGGCAGUGUCAGGCUUUACCCCCUGCAGAAUUCGCAAUUGCAACUUUUUCUUCACAUUUGUGAAGUCCGGGGUUUACCUUUAGGUUCGCAAAUGUGAACUAUUGUUUGCAAAUGCGAACUAUGCACUGCAUUUUCCAAACAGCUACAGGUUUUUUUUCUUAUGGGCCAUCCCGGCCUGAUCAAAUCAAGUACAAAAAUUCUCAAAAUUUGUAGAUUAGCUACAAAUAAUAUUCUAAGCUAUUCUAAUAAAAGAAAUUUUCAAAAAUGAUAAAAAAUAUUGAAAAAUGAUGGGUUGCCUCCCACCAAGCGCCGCAUUUAACGUCGUGGCACGACGCAAACAACUUUAUCACUUUUCUCGCCACUUGGAUGAUAUCAAAUAGGCACCUAGCUUGGAAUCAAGCAUGUGACCAUGAGCGAUAGGGGAUGGUAAGUUGAUGAUCGAGCAAAUGCUUAAAAUCUCCGUUUUGAACUUUUUGGCUCUCGAGUGAGGAAUGUCAUUUUGUUUUCUUGACUCCUCAAGCUGUAGAGUUUUUAUUCCUCGCAAUCCUUCAUUCAUCCGUAUAGUUCGACUUCCAUGUCACCACACAAUUCCAACGAUGAAAAAAAAUUGGAAUGUGACUUCAAGCCUUCACUUUGAAAAUUUUUUAUCUUGACAUCCUCCUUUUCCCCUAGAUUAGACUCAACAUCAACCACAUUUUUAUUUACACCGGUUGACUCCAAUUCCAUUUUUUUCUCGGCAUCAAUAAUACUCAUUGGGUCAGUUGGCGGAUUUAAUUCUUGAUUCAUUUAAAGUAAAGCUCACUUUCUUCCUCAGAAUUUGACUCUUCUUGGCUUUCUUCCACACACUCGAGUUGUUGGGCAUAGUGAGCCUCAACCAAAGUUUGCGUUUGAUCUUCCAAUGCGCAGAUAUGUUCAUCAUUGUAAUUCAAGCCUUGUUUCAAGUCAUCAAGUGAAAAGUUUUUCUUCUCCUCAUUUUCAAGAAUGGUCUCCACAUGAGCAUUAUUUUCUCAUUUUGAGCAUUUGGGAGUUCUUCUUGGUUUUGAUCAAAUGCCAACAAAGUGUUUUCGCUCUCAAUAUCCAAGGAAGAGUAUUGGUUUCAUUCACUUCCAACGCUCUUUGAACACUUGAGGCUUGGAUCAUUUCAUCCAUUUGUGAGUGCAAUCGUGGAAGGUCUAAAUUAGUUUGGAGACUUGUCCCCAAAAGAUAUCCCAAGGCAUUUUGCUCCUUGUUUCCUUCUUCAAGUAGACAUUCCAAAAUGAGCUUGAACUCUCCAUUUUGGUCAUGCUCAUUUUUUUCUAUUUCCAUAUCCCUAUAGUUCUCAUCACAAAAAGCAAACUCAUCAUAAUAGGGGCUUGGGGAAGGGAAGUUCAAAUAUGCACAGUAAUCCCAAUGACCAUUUUGGUAACCACACUUAUCACAAAUACUCCAACCAUGGGGAUGAGAUUGUGCGCAUAAUCCACCCCCUGGAGAAUUUAAACAAUAUAGACAUUACUGUGGUCCUCCGCAAUAAGGACACCGGUCAUCAAAGUAUGAACAACUACCAUCCGACCAAUUUUAAUUAUAUGAUGCCAUUUUCAAGAAUAAGAAAAUAAACAAGAAACAACAAAUAAAAAUAGACCCAAGGCAAGAAAAAUAACUACACAAAUAAUCACAAGUUUGGACUAAAGCACGUUUACUUCUCAAACAACCUAAUUACGCCAAAUUGUUCCCCGGCAACGGUGCAAAUUUUUGAGACAUCAAAAUCCACUACUAAAAAGCAAUAGACACGGUCGUAUGCAAUAUAAUUUACCCAACUAUGAGUCAGGGUCGAAUCCCACAAAGAACAAUGUAUAGGCGAUUAGGAAUGAAAGAAAAUUAUCGCUAGUCAUGCAGUGCCAAACACUAAGAAUUUGGGUUGAAAAUUAUUUUUAUAUAUAAAAUGCGGAAAUGUAAACUAACCUAGAAAGCAAGUAAAAUGAUCAAUGCCUACAAGUAUGAAAGAAUCGGGAAUUACACUCAGGUAAUGAUCCGAUGUAUUUUAUGAUUUCACAAAUAUGAGCGAGUUUAUGUUAAUUAGCCACGGAUAAUAAUUCUUAAUUAGCUUCUUACGAAGAAUAACAAUUCUUCCUAAUUGAAUUAUCCCUAAUCACAAUUAGAAGAUUAAGCACACCUAGAAGGCUACAAUUAGUUCAAUCCUAUCCCUAGGUAGAAUCUAUAAAAUGAGGGUUAACGCCUCAAGUUCUUGUUAUAUCUUUUCCAACCCCAAACUAUUUUUUCAAAAAUUAAUUCACAGUUAAUGGAUGAGUCCUAGGGUUAGCUAAUCCCUUUUGAAACAUUAAAGAACAAGAAUAAUUAAAGAAACAAUAACUCAUUUCAUAAAUAGAUAAAAAUCAUUUAAUACAUAAGCACAACAAGGUAAAACAUCCACAAUUUAAUUAUGAAUAUUCCCAAAAAGAAAAUUUAAGUGUUGGAUAAAAUAUUACACACAUAGAUAAACAGUACAAAUCGAGUAAAUGAAGAAAUAAACAUAUAUGGGUAAGAAAAUCUUAACCACAAGCUUCAAUCUUCAAGACCCAAGUGUGUUUGUGAAAACCCUAGCUCAAGAACUUGUUCUCUCUAGUCUUCAUGGAUGGAAAAUAAGCCAAAGAUACUUUACAAAUGAACCUCAUCGGGUAUUAAAUUAUUUGGGGAUCAAAAUUGUUAUGUUCCGGAAUUGCCCAUGCCUGAAGCACGUGCUUCGCAAUUGCGAACAAAUAUUCGCAUUUGCGAAGCUUGCCUAUACUGCCUGGUUUCGCAUUUCCUAACAUUUCUUCACAUUUGUGAAGACUCCAAUUUCCUGCCGAGUUCGCAUUUGCGAACAUUACAUCGUAUUUGCGAAGACUGCUAAUUCAUGCUAAGUUCGCAAAUGCGCCCUUUUCUUCGCAUUUGCGAAGGCUGCCCAAUUCCUGCUAAGUUCGCAAAUUUGAAAUUUUCUUCGCAUUUGCGAACACUGUCCUUUUCUUCUUGGAUUUUCAUUUCUCAGAUUUGGUUGCAUUUGCGACCUUUGAGGCCACUGCCCAGAUUUUCUCCUUGUUUUUGCUUCUUUUUACUUGUUUCCACUUGGUUUCUUCACCAAUUCUUCUAAAUCACAUUCAACCUGUAAAAUAGAACUAAAUGACAUUAAACAAAUGAUUUUAUCACUGAAAAUAUAGCAAACGUAUAGGUUUAACGGCAAGAUAAGUGGGUAAAAUACCAACUUAUCAACCAACUUAUUAUGACGAAAAUUAAAAUUUUGACAUUUUUGGUUAUUUUUGCAAAAGGGGAGGUUGUGAGUGUUGCCUACGUAUCUCAUGCUCUGUGAAAAUUAAACCGGCAUAGUUCGGGCAAAUAAAGUAAUUUUGAAAACAAGACCCUUUUUUCUUUUGCUUUUUGAGUGAAUCAAACUAAAAGAAAUAUUUUUCUUUUUUCUUCAUUUUCUCAAAAUUUGGCCACAAUUUCGAUGCUAUUUGGGUAUUGGUUUUCCUAAAAGCAUGUAAUUAACACACUACACUAGUAAUUCUCUCUUUUACUUUUUUCUUAUUUUUUUAUAUUUUCGAUAUUCGGAAGUCGGUCAGCAUGCAUGCCCGAAACAAAUAAAUGCACAGAAAACAAGUAGGAUGCAUCAGGAUGGUCCAUUUAAUUUCAGGUUGCUAGUCCUAGACAUACCCAACCCCUGUGUUGAAUCCCCUAAGUCAAAUGCACAUGACGCAAAUAAGCGUUUCUACUAGUGAUCCGGCAUGAGGCUGUGUUAUUCUAGGUCCAAAACUUGGUUGUUUGUUCUAAACCUGGCUUACCCGAGCGGAUAUCUCGAACCGAGGGGGAGGCAACGUACCUGGAAUAUAGAAGCUUCACCGGCUUUGCAACUUAUCCGAACCUCGUUCUAAAAUUGGAAUUAGAAUCUAUAGGGAAAAGAAGGAACACGAAGUGCACCCUUCUUCAUGAUUUAGAAGACUCAAAGGGGAGAUGGAUUUUUGCACCGGUAAUAUAUAGUUCACCGGUUAUCAAAGCGUUAAAUAUUUAGCAUAUAUAGCAUGGAACAUAUAGUAAAAUCAAAUAAAUCCGAAUACAUCAAUUAUACCAAGCUCGAAUUCUAAAACCCUGAACCGAAGUUCUGGGUUCUAUACCCCAGCAGAGUCGGCAGAGCUGUCACACUUCCUUUUGAACACCUACCCCAAAGGAUAAUGUAUAAGGGAUUUUUUCUAUUUAAAGUGACAUUAUACGAAUCGGGAUUAUUUAUUCAGUAAGAGUCGCCACAUGGGAAAGGUUUGGCUUUUGGUGUCCCAAGUCACCAGUUUAUCUUGAAUCCCGAAACGAGGAAACUUUUUGACUCAUCAAUUGGAGUCUGUGAACCAAAAAUUCUAAGUAAGGAAUUUGUUGACCCGAGGGAAGGUGUAAGGCACCCCCGGAUUCCUUGGUUCUAGCACGGUCACUUAAACUAUUAUAAUUGGCCUAUUAUCUUAUUUUAAUGCAUGUUCAAAUUAUAGUGUAAUAUUAAAUUAUUUACCACUUUUAGUUAAACUUUUUAAGAAAGUGAACAUCGGUUAAAAAUGUGUUUUUGGAUCACGUCACAUGAAAUGCACCAGGAUCCUCGACACAUUCUUAUUUGACAUUUUUGGAUUUGAUUUGGGUCAUAUAAAAUGCACACCCGAGUGUAAGAAUGUAAUUUCUUUAGAAUCGCGCCUAAAGAGACUAACACAUUAUUAUUUUGGGAAGGCCGUGAAAUUUGCUAAACGGCCCAUCCAGCUUCCUAAGUAUUUUAAUAUAACCAUUUAUCGAGGGCCGUGUAAUUUUUCCUAUUUUUUUAGGCGAGGUUCAUCUCUUUUUUGUAAUUUUUAAAAGGCUAAUCCUACAAUAAGCUAUGAUUUUAUAUAUAUUUCGUCUCUAAUAAUAAAUGAAAGAAAUCCUUAUUAAAAAACGAUUAUAUUUGAGGUCCAUGGAUUCAUACUAUUUAAAUUGUCAACCAUCUUGGGCCUGAAACGUAGCUCGUUUAAAUGGAUCAAAAUUUAGGCGAGCAAACCAGUCCGAGGACUGGGCCCAGGUUUACACGGACGUUUAGACAUGGGCUUCCUGAAAUGCAUUGGAGCCCAGUCCGUCCGAGAUAGGCUGUUAAGCCUUGAUCGCCAAUUCAAAAUGAAUUUCGAUUAUUCACGGAACAUCUUCAUGUUACUCGUAUUCAACAAUUUAUAACAAAGGAAAACAUGAUUCACCUAUUCGAAUUGAUGAAACACUAAACCAUUCUGAUUUCAGUUUAAAACUAAGAUUAUUUUCUAUUUAUCUUUUGAUGGGCUAUUGGAUACCAUUUAGGUAAAAAUAGAUUGAGAAUGUUAAAUCAAUGCUCAAAUGAUUCAAGGGUUCACACAAGUUUAAUUGUUAGUACAUAGUGAGAAUUCAAGGACUCGAAGUGGUUUCUUAUCUCAGUUGUCUUUCUAACCUCAUUAACCAAACUAACAGGAACAAAAUUAAACUAGCUAAAACCGAAGGAUAAUUUGCAGAAUUACUAAACUUCGAGGAUUGCGAACUAAGUUAGCUAACAACUAGUUCCAGUCCACAUUCAACACUCUAACCAAUAACCAAAUACAAAAUCCUUAAGCUGAUUAACAAUCAGUUACAAAAUAAUAAUCGAAAUAGUCCAAAAUAACCUAAGGCAAACCCGAAUAAUAGCCCAUAUUAUUACAACCCAGUCUAUUGCUCAAAUCAAUACCAGCUUAGUAAACUAACAACAAUUAAUAAGUUAUAUUGUUUAACGAUAAACAUCAGACGACAUCUAAAGUGCAGAGAUCUGAUAGCAAUUUUCAUUUCAACUUCAAUUUUGAGUUACAUUGAAACAAAUCGAGGAAGUGCACCUGGAAUUCGAAUAACAGAACAAAGAAUAAGGAGGUCAGCAGCAACUCAAACACAACAUACCAAUAGACAAUCAACCAGACACAAAUGCACAGCCCAAGAAAUAGAAUCACAGCCCAGAAAAAAGUUUGAAAUCAGACGAAAAUGAGAUAUCAACCACAAAUCACUCGAAUGCACCCAAAUGACUCGAAAUUGAACUUGAAUUAACCAAGAAUUGGACUAAUAGAUAUUAGGAGAACUCCAACACAUUGGAAUCAAGCUAUAUGACCAAAAGCAAUUAUUCAAACUCUAAAUUGAACCAAAAGUUAAAUGGAAGAGUAUUUUUUGCUAAUUUUUCACUGCAUUUUUGUGCUUUUUUUUUGGAUAUUUGAGAGUUUUCUUAUGGUGUAUUGGUUUUGAAUUUUGAAUUUCUACGUCUCAGAUCUGAAAUGGGAGAAGAGUUUUUUUUUAGGUGAAAAACUUGUUAUUCAAGGCAUUUGUGAUGCCUUUUAUAGGCAAAAUGAAGUGCAACUCAUAUAUUAUGAGAAAGACAUCCAAGAUUUAUUUCGAAAUGAAAGAUUGAGCAGCUGCUGAAGAUGGAGCUGCAGAGCGUCGUUCGGGUAAGAGAGAGAAUGAUUGAUAAGGGCAUUCUGUGAAUGGAGGAAUUGCCACAAAUCUUAUCUGAAGUAAUGUGUUGCCGCGAAUCGGCUAAAAGAGUUUCAAUAGGCUUUAAUAGGCAAAUAUGAAGUGCAACACAUAUUUUUAUUUUCUUUCAUUUCAAUCCCUCAUUUAUUUUAAGUUUUUAUUUUUUCACCCUUUGAUUACAGACUUGUGCUUCAAGUAAUUACCCUUAUUUUUCUGAAAUUCUAAUUUUACCCCUAUCUAGAAGUUUCUAGGAACUUCAGAUUGAAUCUAUUGCAUUUUGGUAUCUUACCAGUUACCUGAAAUGCCCUUGAACUCAUUUGAAAUCACUAAAUUAGACUAACCUAACCCAACUUCUAACUAUGAUUAUCUAACAACUAACCCUAUUUAACUAACAAUCUUCAGCAAUCAAGACAACGACAAAGUAAUCAGUUAAUGAAGCAAUGUGAAUUAGAACCCAUAUGAAAGAAUGAUUUGAACACAAUUGGACUAAUAUCCAAACCUAUCGAACAGAAUUGAUCAAUAAUCAAAAUAAGUUUUAACUGUGACAAAUUAUAUUAUAAUUAAGUCUUGCUUAUAAUACAACUAAACUAAAAGAAAAUCUAGACGAAUUACAGUCUAGGUAAACAAUAAUCAGACACAAAAUUAGGAUCAAAAUCAACAAAGACUCAAAACACGUCUUAAACUAGAAUUUAACGAAUAUGAUCACAGAAGCAAAAUAAAAGAAUAAUACAAAGGAAAAAAGAAAACAAAAACUCUCUGUCAUGGCUCAAAGUCUGGCUGACUUUCACACUUCACAUUCGGCCGUCUCUGGUGGGAAUUGAGUGCUAAUGACAUUGAAUUCUUAAUGAGGAGGGCCCAAUGAAGAUAUGGUAUCAUUUUGGGGUGACUUAAUGUGAGUAAGGUUUUUCCGAAAAAACAUACAUUGAUAUUCGAACAGUUCCGGCGGGAUUUGAGGAACGGGGUUAAGAGGGUUCGAUAGAGGACACGGAGGUGAUCUUGUGGUGUAAAUUUGGUGGUAUUUUGGUAAGGUGACAUUUUGGCCGGAGUUUCUUUGAGCUAAGACUCAAAGGUUUUGGAUGUGAUUCGAGGAAAAAGGGGUAUGGAUUCGGAGAGAGGAAGGAACAGGGAAUCUAGGGUGUAUUUUUGGUGGCAUUUGGAGGUGGGCCGUCGCUAUGGGCGAUUUCCGUCUGCGGCGGGUGGUGGUGUUACAUAGAGCUAUAAACGGGGUAUUUAGGAUGAUGAAACGGGGGUGGGGGUAUGAUUCAGACACAUAUAUACGAAUUAACCUAGGAUAUGUCUCGUCCGUCAGAUCAAAAAUUAAGGGCCGUGAUUGAAUAUUGAAACAACGUCGUGUAGGGAUUGGGACUUACUGGGUAACAGACUGGUUUGGGCUGCUACUGAGUUCAGCUGUGAGUGGGUUUGGGGUAAGAACUAACUUGGGCCAUACUAAAUGAAUUUAAAUUGGCCAAAUUUGGGCCUCCCUCUUUUAUGUGUCUUCUUUGUUUUUUUUUUUCUUUUUUUUCAUUUUGGUUUUCUUCUUUACUUGCUAUAAUUUAUUUUUUGUAUUUCUUUUUUAUGUUUU
rnacentral:lncRNA from 1 species